rnacentral:rRNA from 1 species
UACCUACCUUCCCUUAGUAGGGCAUAGCCCGUAGAAAUGCGGAUUAAUACCCUAUGUUGUAUAUUGAGGACAUCUGAUUUAUACCAAAGGUUUACCGCUAAGGGAUGGGGAUGCGUCUGAUUAGGUUGUUGGCGGGGUAACGGCCCACCAAGCCUACGAUCAGUAGGGGUUCUGAGAGGAAGGUCCCCCACAUUGGAACUGAGACACGGUCCAAACUCCUACGGGAGGCAGCAGUGAGGAAUAUUGGUCAAUGGACGAGAGUCUGAACCAGCCAAAGUAGCGUGCAGGAUGACGGCCCUAUGGGUUGUAAACUGCUUUUAUACGGGGAUAAAGUGAGGGACGUGUCCCUUUUUGUAGGUACCGUAUGAAUAAGGACCGGCUAAUUCCGUGCCAGCAGCGGC